rnacentral:misc_RNA from 1 species
CCCCCGCAGAGCAUUUUCACACAUCAUCCCAUCCAAUGCAUAUUUUGCCAUGAAAUUAUAAGAAAUUUAACACUUAGGUUUAUUAAAAAAACACCAUUCCUCUUUCUUUCUUUCUUUUUUUUUUUUUUUUNNNNNNNNGCAUUGGUGAGGAAAAAUAGCAACCAACAACUAAAGCCCACCCCUGCUGCACCAGCGAGACCCAACAAAGCGCUAAUAGACAGAGUGGAGGAUUUCAGAAGUAGGAAC